rnacentral:rRNA from 1 species
UACGUAGGGGGCAAGCGUUGUCCGGAUUUAUUGGGCGUAAAGAGCUCGUAGGCGGUUUGGUAAGUCAGGUGUGAAAUCUCCACGCUCAACGUGGAGGGGCCACCUGAUACUGCCAUGACUGGAGUCCGGUAGAGGAGUGUGGAAUUCCCGGUGUAGCGGUGAAAUGCGCAGAUAUCAGGAGGAACACCGAUGGCGAAGGCAGGUCUCUGGGCCACUACUGACGCUGAGAAGCGAAAGCGUGGGGAGCGAACAGG